GACGAACGCUGGCGGCGUGCUUAACACAUGCAAGUCGAACGGAAAGGCCCUGCUUUUGUGGGGUGCUCGAGUGGCGAACGGGUGAGUAACACGUGAGUAACCUGCCCUUGACUUUGGGAUAACUUCAGGAAACUGGGGCUAAUACCGGAUAGGAGCUCCUGCUGCAUGGUGGUGGUUGGAAAGUUUCGGCGGUUGGGGAUGGACUCGCGGCUUAUCAGCUUGUUGGUGGGGUAGUGGCUUACCAAGGCUUUGACGGGUAGCCGGCCUGAGAGGGUGGACGGCCACAAUGGGACUGAGAGAGGGAGCAGUAUCCUACGGGAGGCAGCAGUGGGGAAUAUUGCAGAAUGGGCGGAAGCCUGAUGCAGCAACGCCGCGUGCGUGAUGACGGCCUUCGGGUUGUAAACCGCUUUGGCCUGUGACGAAGCGUGAGUGACGGUAAUGGGUAAAGAAGCACCGGCUAACUACGUG
rnacentral:rRNA from 1 species